GUAUGAUUCCUGCCCAGCUCCCGGGGUGGCGGUGACGACAAGCAGCAGCAGUCCAGCUGGUCCCAGAUUUGCUGCUGGACUGCUGGAUGGGGCCGUUCUCAGUGACACUACCGGUUUUGGAGAAUGCCACACAUCUCUGCACCCCCGGGACCCCCGGGACCCCAAGGAUCCCGAAGAAGACAGCUUGAACCUAGAACUCCCCUCCCUCCCUGCCCAGACCUCACCCCAGGAUGCUGCCGAGGCUGCUGGAGCGGCCCUGCCCGCCAGCCCUGCUUGUGGACUCCCAGUUGGCUGUCACGAUGUACCUGUCACUGGGGGGCUUCCGAAGCCUCAGUGCCCUAUUUGGCCGAGAUCAGGGGCCAACGUUUGACUCUUCUCACCCCCGUGAUGUCUACGGUAACCUCAGUCACCUGCCUGGGGCCCCUGUCGCCCCAGGGGGUCCUCCAGCUCCUCGAGGUCUGCCCUGUGGUCCAGAACGAUCUCCUCUUCUAGUGGGUCCCGGGUCGGGGUCCUUUUAGCCCAGUGCCAUCUCUGGCAGAGACCGUGGAGCGGAAUCCCCGGGUGGAGCCGGGAGGCCAGUACCACCCUGCAGGGUGUGAGCCCCAAUCUCGGACAGCCAUCAUUGUGCCCCACGGUGCCCGGGAGCACCACCUGCGCCCGCGGCUCUACCACCUGCACCCCUGCCUGCAGCGCCAGCAGCUUGCUGGCGGCAUCUAUGUCAUCCACCAGGCGGGAAACAUUUAACAGGGCAAAACUGCUGAACGGUGAGGUGCGGGAGACUCUCGGCGAUGCAGAGCGAGACUGCCUGUUCUUGCACGAUGUGGACCUCUUGCUGGAAAAUGACCACAGUCUGAAUAUGUGCGACCCCCGGGGACCCCGCCAGGUUGCUGUUGCCACGAACACGUCUGGAUACAGCCUCCCGCACCCUCAGUACUUCGGAGGGGUCUCCGCACUUACUCCCGACCAGUACCUGAAGAUGGAACGGCUUUCCCAGUGAAUACUGGGGCUAGGGUGGGGAGGAUGGCGACAUUGCCACCAGGGCGCGCCGGGCUGGGAUGAAGAUCUGUCGACCCCCCAUGUCUGUCGGACACUAUAAGAUGGUGAAGCAGCGAGGAGAGAAGGGCAACGAGGAAAACCCCCACAGAUUUGACCUCCAGGUCCGUUCCCAGAAUUCCUGGACGCAAGAUGGGAUGAGCUCGCUAGCAUCACGACUGCUGGCUCAGGAGCUGGGUCCUCUCUAUACCAACGUCAGGGCAGACAUUGAAACGGACCCUCGGGGGCCCCUGGGCUCUCUCUGGUCCCCGUUACCCACCUGGGUCCUCGCAGGCCUUCGGUCAAGAGAUGCUGCAGCGCCGGCCCCCAGCCAGGCCUGGCCCCCUGCCUGGCCUGGCCCCCUGCCUACUGCCAAACACACAGCCCUCUGGAGUUCACACUGACUCCUCCUUCCUGCUCACCUUAAUCAUGAAACCGAAUUCAAGGGGUUGUAUUCUCCCCACCCUCAGAUCCUCACUGUUUUUAGAGGGAUGUGGGGGAGC